GGAAUUAGAACCAGCGACCUUUCGGUUACUGGCACAACGCUCUUAACCACUAAGCUACCUGCCGCCCCCAGUGAGAGUUAUGACAGCAUGUGAACGGACAUUUCCAACAAUGGAGUUGUAUCGACCGUGCAGAACAUGGCAGCGUAGCUUGUAGUGUUGUUUGAGUCAAAUCAGAGAUGGUUAGCGAGCUGGUCUGUCGCCAGUAUUGUGGAAUAAUUAGAAUGUUUGUAAGUGGCGGCAUGCACACUCAAUUUGUGCUAACGACAUUAGACCUAUAUCAGAGAAGAAGAAGAAGAGUUACGACAGAAAGUGCUGGUCCUUUAAGUGGAGACUUCCUGAGACAAGCGUUACAAGAAGGAACGUAUAAACAACAAGCGCUGAUCACAACGACUGAUCUUUAAGGUUGUGUCGAAGUGCUAUUUCUGCUGAUUUCGCUCAUCAACAAUCCCAGAACACUGUUUAAUACCAUUGCGGAAUUAAACCCAAUUUCGGCGACGUGAGAAGAGAAUCAAGGAGGACAUCUAGUGGACGCGACAGAGAAGAGCACGCGCGCCCUGCUGUAGAGGAGAGAUGUACGGGAUGCCAGAAUUGAUUCCACCUAAUGGCCCGAGACAGCCAGGUCCGGCAGGUCAGUUCAACCCGGGACAUACCCAGGUGGUAGCACAGAACGGACAUGGUGAGAGACCGAACCCACAGAGACUAGGGCAGCGGGCGCCCAAGCUCGGACAAAUUGGUCGUUCUAAGAAAGUGGACCUAGGGGACGAGGACGUGGAUGAUAUCAUGAAUAAUAACGGACAAUGUCCCAUGUCCCUCAACCUCUCACCCAUCACCUAAACACCACAUGUGCCAAUGAAGAUCUUCAAAGCCAGACUCAACUGAAUCAAUUUGGCCUUAAUCAACCAACAUUACAAGUGACCUCACUGAAGCUAGGAUAUUAGAUGGAAACGCUCAUCGUGGCACAAAGAGGACAAUUCUAUUGCCGGAAUUCUAGGAUUCUAUAGACCUUUGCAUCAAAAGCUUGUAUAUUGUGCUUCAUUUAGCUGUUCUUAUACUGUGAAUGAAUUGUACUGAAACUUGUUCUGCUCCUAUUACCUCCGUAGUGGACUAUCUGCACUUGGAAAAGUACAGUGUGGCUUGUCUCUAAAGCUUCUAAAGGGCUACAUUUGAAAAAAGUUGCACUCUUUAACUUAUAAGAUGAAAUGGAAACCAUCCUUGGGCCCGUAUCCACAAAGUGUUUCAUAGUAGGAGUGCUGAUCUAGGAUCAGGUCCCCCCUUGUCUAUAAUGCACACUUGUCUAUAUUAUUCAUUAUGAUCUAAAAUUCAACACUGAUCCUAGAUCAGCCCUCUGAGAGGCUAUGAAUACAGUUCCCUUAUUGGUUAUUGAUUCUACAAGGUGGAUGUUGCGGAAGGAAGGAAGGAAGGAAGGAAGGAAGGAAGGAAGGAAGGAAGGAAGGAAGGAAGGAAGGAAGGAAACCUGUUAACGUGUAAAGUGCAGAUGGAACAUUGGGUUACUAAUUGUUGUGACUUAACCUAAAUCUGUGGUUCUCUCACCUUGUGGAGUAUCAGGUUACUGUUGAAUAAUCACUAUUUUGGAAUGCAGGGACAGUUAGAAAAGAUUGCUACUGAUAAUUUAUAUUUACAACGAAAUAUUGUUUUGGUUUAUUAAAUUUUUAGCAAAUGUUUUCAAAGAAUUUAUAUUAUAUGGGUUAUGUUGUUUUUCUUAUGUUAUGGCGUAACGGUGCACUUUAUGGGAAUAACUGUAUGUGACAAUGAAACUUUGCAUAUUUCUAUGCACAGAUUCUAUUGAAGCAUCAAAACAUGUCAGGACAAUUUUCCUGUCCAAAAGUGCUACUUUCUUCUUUGGUGUUUAAAUAUUUUUAUAAUAAUGGCUGAGUCCCGAAUGGCACCCUAUUCCUUACAUGGGUCCUAUAGGCCCUGGUCAAAAGUAGUGCACUAUAUAGGGAGUAGGGUGCUGUUUGGGACACACCCACUGUUUCAUGGUCAUAGGGACUAUAAGGACAAUGUUGACCUAACCAAAGCAUGUAACUUUCUUGUACACUUUGGUCACGUUAUGUGCAUUGGGAACAUUUGCAUAAAAAUGGGAUGAGUGUUGCAUAAUAAUGCAUUAUUAGGAAUAAAAGAGGAGCUUUUCUUUUUUAAUGUAACAUUUAUGAUUGCUAAACAACCUCCAGAAUUACGCAAGCCUAUGUCGAACUUCUAAACAUCCAAAUAUGAGCCCCCAUGUCGAGACAAAUACGACAAAUAACACAUCACACGCUGUAUAAUACUCCUGUUGUGUAUUUUACUACCAGAGUUGUUGUAUAAUGGGAUAUUGACAGUUAAGACAUUGCAUUUUAACUAUUGUGAUGUCAACUUAAAAAAAUAAAAAAAUGGGCUAGAUAAGCUACAUGGCA